GCAAGUCAAACCUUUUAUUCAUAAACAAGAGUUUGUUACAAGAAAUAAGAUAAGAACUCUCUUGAACUACACUCCAAAACUUGCAUAACUCUAACGGUUCACAUCCUCUACUACUUAUAACUUGAAAAGGACAUAAAGCCACACGACAGGCCAUGUGCUCCUGCCUUCGCACGUGUAACAGAUCCUCCUCCUCUCCAAGCUUUAUUCUUCACAUGCUUACUACUAGAACUCUCGCACCAG
rnacentral:lncRNA from 1 species